rnacentral:lncRNA from 1 species
GUGCAUGAGGUUUAUGAGCUGACUGUAUCAAACUUCCAGAGCCUUUUUCAUUUUAUAGUUGGUGGGCACGUUAUCGACAUGCGUGUAAUGAGCCUCCCUGCGUAUCCUGGCCCGGGCGUUGAUGCAUAACAUCGCUUCAAGGUUACUUCCUUUACUGCCAAUUGACUGAAGAGCUAAAAAGCUUAUUUAAGUGACAUCUUAAGGGCCUCUGUGCAGGUUGUUAGGUUAUAUGGAUUUGGAACUUGCUGUCUGAAGUAGCUGGAGUGGUCAUGGGUCGUGCUGAUUGGAUACGAGUGAUGGGUUUAUUGAUUUCACACAUUUAAACUGAAACAGUUUAUUAUGUUUUCUUUUAUUUGCUUCCGCUGAACAUGUUGGUUUUCUUUUAAACUUAUUGACAGUACUUUUCAGAAUAAUUGAUGAUUUUAUUCAACAUUAUGAUUG